rnacentral:rRNA from 1 species
UACAGAGGUGGCAAGCGUUGUUCGGAAUUAUUGGGCGUAAAGAGCUCGUAGGCGGUGUGUCACGUCGGCCGUGAAAACCUGCAGCUUAACUGUGGGCGUGCGGUCGAUACGGGCAUCACUGGAGUUCGGCAGGGGAGACUGGAAUUCCUGGUGUAGCGGUGGAAUGCGCAGAUAUCAGGAGGAACACCGGUGGCGAAGGCGGGUCUCUGGGCAGUAACUGACGCUGAGGAGCGAAAGCGUGGGGAGCGAACAGG